rnacentral:rRNA from 1 species
UGGGGAAUUUUACACAGUGGGGGCAACCCUGAUCCAGCAAUGCCGCGUGAGUGAAGAAGGCCUUCGGGUUGUAAAGCACUUUUGUCAGGGACGAAACGGUUUUGGCUAAUCUCCAGAACUAAUUACGGUACCUUAAGAAUAAACACCGGCUAACUACGUUCCAACAGCCGCGGUAAUACGUAGGGUGCAAGCGUUAGUAGGAAUUACUGGGCGUAAAGCGUGAGGAGGCGGUGGUGGAAGGCAGAUGUGAAAGCCCUGGGCGCAACCGGGGAAUUGCAUUCGUGACUGUUAGGCUAGAGUGUGGCAGAGGGGGGUAGAAUUCCAGGUGUAGAAGUGAAAUGCGUAGAUAUGGGGAGGAAUACCGAUGGCGAAGGCAGCCACCUGGGAUAAUACUGACGCUGAGGCACGAAAGCGUGGGGAGCAAACA